rnacentral:misc_RNA from 1 species
GAUGAAGAACGCAGCGAAAUGCGAUAAGUAAUGUGAAUUGCAGAAUUCAGUGAAUCAUCGAAUCUUUGAACGCACAUUGCGCCCCCCAGUAUUCUGGCGGGCAUGCCUGUUCGAGCGUCAUUUCAACCAUCAAGCCCUGCUUGUGUUGGGGUCCUGCGGCUGCCCGCAGGCCCUGAAAACCAGUGGCGGGCUCGCUAGUCACACCGAGCGCAGUAGCACAUCUCGCUCAGGGCGUGCGGCGGGCUCCAGCCGUUAAAGCACCCACCUUUCGCAAGGUUGACCUCGGAUCAGGUAGGAAUACCCGCUGAACUUAAGCAUAUCAAUAAGCGGGGA